AACGCUUCGUGUUGUGUUUGGAAACAGUUCGCAUACGAGUUGAUGAAUUUGAUGUUCAUACUUAUCAGUGUACGAGAUAAAUCGUAUUACAUACUGUUUCAUCUGCCGCUUUAUCGGAUGAGACACAGCAAACUAGAUCAGUUUGCAGCAGAUUAGGAGGAGUUGGAUUAAACUGCCAGAAAUAGUGCACUCAGCUGGAAAAAAAAAAAUUAAAGACUAAAAGCCCUUGCACUUACUUGGUAGCGGUGUAUGGACCUCAACCUUGACGUGAGCUGUAGCAGUGACCUUUGUUGUAACAUGUGGCUGUGGUGUUGGUGUUGAGGUUGAACUUUGUGAUGAAUUAUCACUGUUCUGAGAGGAACUCUGU